rnacentral:tRNA from 1 species
GUGGGGGUGGCCCAGCCUGGUAAGGCGAUAGACUGCUAAUCUAUUGUCCGUAUGGACCCGAGGGUUCGAAUCCCUCCCUCCACGCCA